rnacentral:tmRNA from 2 species
GGGGGCGUCACGGUUUCGACGGGGAUAGUGAAGCUGUAGAAGCGUACCGAGGUUCCUACAGGCCUCGUUAAACAGGUAGGAAACAUAUAAUCGCAGACAACUACGAUUACGCUUUAGCCGCUUAGACGGCUAACGUUUUCCUGAAUCCGCCUGUCGGUUCAGAUGAGAACGUCAUUAAGGCAGGAUAGCCCAACUUCCUUUCCCGGCGGUAGAAGGGCGAAGCAAUUACGGGAUAGCGCCGGAUUAAUCCUGCCUUUGGGAGUUUUCCGGUGCAAAAUCAAAACAAAGGAUACGUACGUAGAAGCUAUAGUGGAAUAUUUUCGGACGCGGGUUCGACUCCCGCCGCCUCCACCA